AGCCAGCUACACCUACAUUAGAAAGAGUGGAACAGAUCACGGGUCACAGGAUUAAGGCUAGAUGGGGUUUGAGAUGUGGGAAGACUUGAGGUCAUUUUGAGUUUUGAGAAAAGGAGAGACAUGAAGAGGCAGAAAACAUGUUUACUGGACCCAGCUACUUUGCAGUGAUUAGUGGGACCUUCAGAACAUAAAUAGAUCCUAAGGAGUGAAUGCUUGUACCCCUUCCAAAAUUUAUAUGCUGAAGCCUUUAUAUGGUUGUAUGUAAAGACAGACCCACUAAUGAAGUAAUUAAGGUUAAAUGGAGUCAUAAGAGAGAGGCCCUAAUUCCAUAAGAUUAGUGUCCUUAUAAGAAGAGACUCCAGAGAACUCACUUUCUCACUCUCUCCCUCCCUUUCCUUGCAUACAAACCAAGGGAAAAUCAUAUGAGAACAUAGCAAGAAGGUAGCUGUCUGAAAGCCAGGAAGAGAGGCCUCAGCAGGAAAUGAAUCAGCAAGAACCUUGAUCUUGGACUUCUAGCCUCCAGAAUAGAGAAAUGUUCAACCAAAACAUUUGUUGGAUGAGUAAAAAAAGAAACAUGAUCCUUUCCCUCCUGAAGCUUACAGUCUAUCAUGGAAUGCAGACAAGUCAACAGAUCUUUAUCUUUCAUUAAUAAUCGAUAUAGAAAAUAUAAACAUAAGGUGCCAUGGAAGAAUAUCUUCAAUCAAAUCCAGCAAAAUACCUGUUCUCUACGCUAGGUGCACAGGUGUCUUGACUCAUUGCUGCCACACAUUGGCCACUCUCAUCGAAUUCAGAGGACUCAUGGAAACCACACACCCACUAGCUGUUCCCUCAGAAGCCCCUGAAUUACCAACAAAAAGCUGGUUCGUCUCGGCUACUGAGAAAUAAUUUGUCAUGUUUCAUCCCCUAAAUGAAAGAUGCCAGACUGAAUGCCCGUCUGAGAAAGGGACAGAGCAUGAGAUCUAACAAAGAACCUCAGCACUCAAAAAGUUUACCACUAAAAUGGAGUGACAAGGAAAGCAGGGGAAGAAAAAUCACUACUGGAAGUACUGCUACUAUCACCACUGCUCCUGGGAGGAAUCACCGCAGCAGCUGUUCAUCAAGUGCUUCCUGCAGCCAAUCACUAGGCUAAAAGCACCUGACAUGCCACAUCACAGCAGCUUGCUAACAAUAGCUGCUGUGAUUCUCACUUAACAAUAAAAGUGUGGCUCAGCGAGGCCAAGGAGCUUUUUCAAAAUCUUGUCACUAAUAAAUCUCAGAGUCCAGGCUUGAACCCAUGUCAACCUGACCCUAACGCCUUGGUCUUCACCUGAGUGCUUGCUAUGUGCCAGGCAUUGUCAACAGUACUUUAUAUUAAUUGUGUCACUUAAUUGUUAAACAGCCCUAUCAGUUCUCCAUCAAUAUUCCCUGAAGGGAAUGGGGCCUUGGAAAGAUUAGUGAACUGGACCCCUGACAUGAUCUCUUCCUUCCAAUACUUACAAUAAACUACUGUUUAGUAUGGAGAAGAAAGACUAGUGGAUAUUGAAGAACUGGCAGAAUAAACACUUGCAUAGAUGGAAGAUGUACAGAGGAUGUAUGCGAUACAGGACUUUAAAGAAUGCUGACAUCUUUGUGGCUGAAAUUAAUUGGAAAUUUUAAAGUAUUCAUUUCAUUUACCUCUGAUUCUAAUUGAAAAAUGUCGAGUUGAUUUCUCAGAUGUUUUACUCACCGAUAAUAUGUGCUUUAUCCACGUCAGUGCACUUUUGCCAUAAAUUAUUGUUGUUAUCACUAUUAUUAUUUUACUUUGCCAAUCUGAAAUCCGUCCUGGAAUUUGGCACAUGUAUGGGAUAUGGAUAGAAAAUAAGAGCAAAGAGGAAUUCAAGAUAAUGAGGCAAUAUAAACAAAAGUUGAAAAGAGAAAAUGAGCAUGCAGUGCCUAGAGAUGCCAAGGAAUCCAGAUCACUGAGGUCGGAUAGAUGUGUCUUUCCAGAAUUUGAUGAGGUUAACCAGGUAGAGCCAGAUGGUAGAGAUCCUUGAAUACCAGGCAAGGGAGUUCAUCUCUCCACCUGUAAGCAUGAAGGAGCCACGGGAGAUUUUGCAAAGGGAAUGACCAAAACGAAAAUGGCAUUUAGGAAAUGAGUUUGCCAGAAGUACCUGGGAGAAAUGGGGACUAGGCACUGAGAAUGUAAUUCAUAGCACAGCAGAACAGAUACUAAAAGAUCGUUCUGGAAGCAGAAGGGCUGGUUUCCAGCUUUUCUGAGGUUGUUUCACUGUGGGUAACUGCUAAGGCCUUCACCCUUGAUGCCAGAGGUGCUGAAACACAUUGCCACACGGCGAAAGAAGUGCCCUAUUGGCCCAAACAC
rnacentral:lncRNA from 1 species